rnacentral:rRNA from 1 species
UGGGGAAUUUUGGACAAUGGGCGAAAGCCUGAUCCAGCAAUGCCGCGUGUGUGAAGAAGGCCUUCGGGUUGUAAAGCACUUUUGUCCGGAAAGAAAUCCUUGGCUCUAAUACAGUCGGGGGAUGACGGUACCGGAAGAAUAAGCACCGGCUAACUACGUGCCAGCAGCCGCGGUAAUACGUAGGGUGCAAGCGUUAAUCGGAAUUACUGGGCGUAAAGCGUGCGCAGGCGGUUUGCUAAGACCGAUGUGAAAUCCCCGGGCUCAACCUGGGAACUGCAUUGGUGACUGGCAGGCUAGAGUAUGGCAGAGGGGGGUAGAAUUCCACGUGUAGCAGUGAAAUGCGUAGAGAUGUGGAGGAAUACCGAUGGCGAAGGCAGCCCCCUGGGCCAAUACUGACGCUCAUGCACGAAAGCGUGGGGAGCAAAACAGGAUUAGAUACCCUGGUAGUCCACGCCCUAAAACGAUGUCAACUAGUUGUUGGGGGAUUCAUUUCCUUAGUAACGUAGCUAACGCGUGAAGUUGACCGCCUGGGGAGUACGGUCGCAAGAUUAAAACUCAAAUGAAUUGACGGGGUCAUAGCUG